GGUUGGAAAGGGUUGCAAGGUGUGGUCUGGUACCUGGAGAUGGUGGCAUUCAUAUCAGUUCUGUAGAAAGCAGGGAAUGGUGGCUGCCCCUUGCCCGUAAAGAGAGCGGUUCCCUGUACCUUUUUUAUUCCCUGGCGUCAGAGGGCAUGGCCAGACCAAGAGAUGGAAACUACAGGGAGGCCAGCUGAGACUUGAUUGAAGAAGGGGAAUCUUCUGAUAAAGGAAGACUGCUUAGGGCAUCAAACACACUUUUCAACUGAGAAGGCAUCAGCACACCAGAGAAAUGCGUGCAGUCUGAACAGGCACGAAGUUCUUGUUGAUGGUCAAGUCCUCUGAUGUGAAGGCCUGGGUUUAAUGCUGGCUUUAACAUCAGUCUCCUGUAUUUCAUCACCAUACCAUCCCGUUGGUCACAGCAGAACCUUCCUGUCUACUGAGGAGCUUUCUGAGAUGUGCCAAAGUGUGAGGAGCUGCCUCUUUCACAAAUUGGAUUCCAUCCCUCACAGACCACGGUGACAGAAAUCCUUCGAGUAACACUGAGAUCAGGUCCAGGGGUCGACCUGGGACUUCGGUUCUGUGGUGUGUGGUUUUUCCUGACUUCAGAUAAUUGUCCUUGGUAGACCCCAAUGACAGUUGGUUCAGAACCGGUGAUAAGUUCAAUGGAGCUGACACAGGCUGACAAAAAUUCCUAUAGUAAAGAGUUUGUGGAAUUUCCCCAGAUGGGGCUUGGAGAGUUUGUCACAUUAGUGGGUUUUUAAGAAUGCCUUUGCUCUUCAUGCAUGCAACUGUGUCUUCUUCUUCUUCUUCUUCUUCUUCUUUUAAUAGAUUUUAUUUGAGAGACUGAGUGUGAGAGAGCACA